rnacentral:lncRNA from 1 species
GUGUCAAUUCAGGAACGGGAAAAAUGUCCGGAUAGUCCCUGUGGUUUUCUCCGUUUUCUCCUAUAGUCCCUACAUUUCUAACUACAGUUAUAGUCCCCAAUUUUUGCACAUUCGUUCUUGGAUAGUCCUUAAAGCGGAUAGAUGUUAGUUUUUGAUGUUAAAUAAGUGUGAAAUGACCGAUUUACCCUUAAUGUAAAACAAAAUAAAUUAAUUAAGUUAUAUAUAUAUAUAUAUAUAUGGGACCCACUUCUUAUAAUAUUAUAUAUCACAUACAUACAAUACCAGACAAAUCUCUCUCUCUACUCUCUCUCCUUUAAAAAACACAACCACCUCCACCGUCGCCAUCACCACUCAGUCGCCACCAUCACCACUGCCACAACCACCCCUCGCCACAACCAUCACCGCCGCCAUCAUCACCACUGCCACAACCACCACCGCCAUCAUCACCACUGCCACAACCACCACUACCACCACCAUCAUCACCACCUCCCCCAUUACCACCAGCGGCGCCAUCAUCACUACCAACAUCACCACUCUUUUGGCUUUAUCGCCGUGAAAAUCAGCUCCGGUGUAGGCCGCCGUGAAAAUCGACCCCAAUCCACCGUUUCAUCACCCCCACCCACUCACACCGCCGUGGAAAUCAGCUCUGGUGCAAGCCGUCUAGCUUCUAAUGUUGUUUCGAAUCAGAAACUUAAAACAAAUUGCAAUCGUUUGAAAUUACGAUUUUGAUUGGGUAGGGGUUAUUUGGUAGUAGUUAUUUAAUAGUGGGUGUUUGAAGGCAAGAGAGACACGAGAAGAAAGAAGUAGAGAGAAAGAAAUAGAUAAGGGGGUGGGGUGGGGUUGUUUUUUUUAGUGGGUCCCGUAUAUAGAGAGAGAGAGAGAGUAGGAGUUGGCUAUAAAGCCUAUUUUUCCUACAAAGUGUAGGAAGCAAUCUCCUUAUGACAUGUGACAUCUAGUGUUUUUAAUUAAAGGGCAUUAAGGUAAUUGAAUAAUUAUAUUAUUUCUGGAAGAUUUUAUAUCAUAACAAUAAAAGGCUAUUUUUAUGGAAACUAUACGUCUAUUAAUUAUUCAAAAUAGGCAGUCACAUCCUUCACGAUUAAUUCAUCCGAAGUUCGAAACAUAAAACGAAUUCAUCAUUUUUUGACAUUGUGUUUUAUCAGUUUAAGGUUUUUUCAUAUCGUGUUAUAUCAAUUUUCACAAUUAAACACACCCCUCAUAUAUUUCAAAAUGUAAAACACAUUCAUUAUUUCUUGACGUUGUGUUUUAUCAGUUUCUGAUUUCUUCAUAUUGUGUUAUAUUAUUUUUCACAAUUAAACACACUUCUCACACAUAAAAUAUAAUAGUUUCUGAAAGGGAAAUUGGCAUGUAAUAAUCCCAUCUAGACUUUAUUGGCCAUUAAUAAUCCCACCUCAGAAUAUUCCCCCCACCAGUCCCACCUUUCACCUAUUUUUCCUACAAUGGUCCCCCGUUAAAAAAAUCUUAACAGAGUUAAGCUUUUUUCCAAAUUGCAAACAGAUUUUUUAGGGCUUUUGAUUUGAAUGACGAUACGAGUCCAUUGAUGAGCACAAGGGUUGGAGGGAAGCUUGUGCUCGAGAGAAUGAAAAACUUUUCCGUGUUCGCCAGGAGUUGAACAAUCUCAAGGCCGCGAAUGCUGCUUUGCUGAAGGAAAAGGCUGUAGCUGAAGCGGCUGCAAAAGAGGCGGAGGCACGCGGUGCCAAGGUGCUUGAAGAGGCGGAUGCCGACCGUAGUAAGCUGAACAAAGCUGUUGAGGACCUCAAGGUAGAAGUACAGAACCGGGUGACCAUCCUUGAAGAGGUCACUGCCCGCGCGAGUGAAGCUGAAGCGUGGGCAAGGGAAACUGCGGAGGCUAGGGAUAGUUUGACUACCUCCCUGAAUCAGCUUAAGGCAGAUCGUGAUUGGAUGCGUGAUCACGGUAUCGGGCAUAUUGUUGGAACCGUUCUUGACGCGCCUGAAAACGCAACCGCUGUUAAUGAGCUGUAGGAGUGUGCACGGCGGGCUGGGUUUAAGGCUGGUUACAACGAAUGCCUCAGCCAUGUGAACCCCUUCUACAAGAGCAGAUUUACUGAUGAGAGAUCUGGGUUCCAUGGCGUAGAUACUGAAGCUCUGUAUGCCGCAGCUGUUGACGCAUACAACAACUUGUCCCUUUCCGCCAUUGAAGAUAUUGAGAAAUGCUUAGAGGCGGAAGAUUACGUAGACCGUUUGCGGUUGUUGUAUGAACGUCCUGAGGAGGAGGAUGCCGCUGGUGGUGCAAAGGAGGAUGCGGGCACCGGUGGUACAAAAGAAGACUAGGUUGGCCUGCGUGCCCCUUUUGACUUCCUUUUUGAUGUAAAUGUUAGGAAAAAACUUAUGUAAAAUUUCUUAUGCACCGCAUCGGUGUAGAAAUUUUUUGGAAUAUAAAGUUUUCUCCUU